UUUAAAAAAAAAAAUUUCAUUACCUUAACCUUAACAUUUUUAUCCUAGAACAUUAUAGGAACACUGCGCGCACCUCGGACAUUCGUAUAUAACUCGGCAUUUCAUAUACGAAUCUCGGUUAUGUAUUCGGUCAUGAUGAAUGUUAUAUAUAUUAUAGUAAAUUUAUAUAAGCGGCACAUAAUUUUAUGUAGGUCUCCAUUAUAACUUUAUACAUCUCGAUAAAGCCGGCAAGGGGUGAAGGCAGCUGCAAGUCAAUGAAGAGGACUGGACAAAGGUUGCCUAGUUCAGGCAGUAAGCGUAGCGAGGAUACAAGCCUCGACGGCCUACUAGACAGCCAGUUAGACGAGGAAUCAGGUAGGCAACCAAAGGGACCCUAUGCAGUCUAAACUAUACUCUAAGCCGUACCCUACGUAUAUAUAUAUACAGGAUCGAUAAGUGAGUAAGAGAAGGGGCGUGCAGGACUAGUCUAGUAGUUAGUAGACCAGGCGGCCCCCGAGAGUGGGUAGGGAGAGGGAAAAAUGUAAAGGGGGGGCGGGGAGUUGAAAGAAGCGCACCAGAGACCACGGGGAAAAGAAUACAAACAAAACAGAAGCGUGCAGAGAGACAGCUGUUCUUGCUGUUGGUAUCCCUGCUCUAGCACAGAGAACCAGAUAUCGGCUCUUGAUAUACAUUAUAAUCAGGCAGAUGUAAAAUGCAAGAAGCUCUAAAGGAACUCCGGAGCGAUCAUUUUUAAAAUUAUUCUCAGUAUUCACGUAGACGAUUCUUAUCUCCGUAGAUAAACAUUUACAGUCCAUUGUUUUUAUGGCAAUACCGCAUAUAUAUAUAUGAAACUCGCUCGUUUCCCGUAUCUCGGAAAAAUAAAACGAUAUACAGGAUCCUUAGGUGUUCGAGUGAAAAAAAAAAAAUAAUAUUUUUUUUUCCAUCCAUUUCUCGUAACUCGAACGGACGUCGCUUUCGACGGUCUUUAUAUUUUUAAACAUUUUUUUCUCGUAUCCACGUAUAUGCCGUGUAGCACCCCAAAGCGGAAUUCAUGGUGAUUAUUGUAACAGAGGAAAUCCGCUGUUCCAGUCGAGAGAGUGGACUUGAACCGUAAAGGUUUUUAUCAGAAAAAUAUAUCUGUUGUAUUCACGUGACGUAGAAGUCGAAAUGAGAAGGCAGAAUUUCAGGGAUCUUUUGAAUCUAAAAUAAAUGAAAUUCCAUAUUAUACCUAUAUACUCUAUUCGUGCUUAGUGUGAUACAAGAAUUGUACCUGAUACGUAAAUAGCCCUUAUACAAGUUACAACUGUCAAACUGAUGUACCCCAUGAUGUCGAUGUACCCCAAUGAGUGUCGUAAAAAAAAAAUAUGAAAAAAUGAUUCAAUAUUGUAAUAAACAAUAUGAAUUAAUUACGUCAAAAUUAUUUUUAUAAUACAUCAAUACGUAUAUAUAAAUAAAAUUAAUUUUAUCAGUCAGCCGAGAGUCACCGGAAAAUAAUUUUUCUGUUUCUUUUUAGUAUGCACCUCCCAGCGCUACCAGCCAGCUGCGCGGUUAUGGCAACAGAGCAAAUCGUUAGGAAUGUCAUUUACUCCCGUUCUAUUAUUAGCAUUUGGAUUCUCGUAAUAACGAACGGUCACUUUUAAUUGUCAGACCCCUAUAACGUUGAAUAUGCAGUUUCCUAUUCAAAAUUGAAUAUAUCGUAUCAGUCAGUAGCCCCACGAGGUUAUCUAUCUGUUUCAUCAGGCCGACUGUUCGCAGUCCCAGUUAUCAUUUGAAUGACACGCGAGUGACUUUUGUCGCUAUUGUUUCGCGACGUAUUCUCACGACAGGCCGCAGCCACAAGUAGCGACGCAAUGAUUUUCAAGGAACGCGGAGAUACUUGCUGUAGUAUCGGAUAUAAUGAAAUGACAGGCGAGUCAUUGAGUGGCAGUUGUCAUUAUAUGACAGUACGAGGUUCGAUGAAUGACGACACAGUGUACCGAUUGACAAUGACAACGUGUCGUCCGAUAUUACGUAAGAGAUAGUAAUUAAUUGAAAUAAUUAAUUUCGAUCUGGAUCGUUUGACAGAAAAAAAAUAAUUUUAAACUCGAUUCGCUUGAUCAAUUGGAUGAGUUUCCACGUGAACGACGUAUCUGGGUCGACGAUUUUCACAGAUAUUUAUUUUCCUAUCGCAUCCAUCAAGCCGAUUAGAUCGUCCGAUCCUCGAGCAAACGAGUCGUCGAUGACGACUUGACCGAAAAAUAGGAUCGGCCGAUGGCCGUGGAUAUAGAUAGACCAGAGACGUACUGGAUCGGAUCGAUCGAUCAUCCUAGGCAGCGGGUCACGACACUGUGAAUAAUAAAGGAGGCAAAGCGGAAAAGAAGGAAAGAAAAAAAAAAGUGGGUAAAAGGAACAAGAGGGUUAUAAACUUUCUACGCGGAUUCGUUACAGUGCGUCGAUUAUCGCGAUCGAUUUAUCGAUAGCGCGGAACCGGGCGAUAAGAACGCGCCAUAAAUGUGCCUCGCGCGAGAUUGUGAGACUUUUAUUUAUAUAUAUAUAUAUACGCAAGUACUUUCCUGUUUGAUGGCUGUUCGUGCCAAUCCUUCGCAGAAAAUCCAAAUGCUCUUUGUUCUUGAUUAAAAAUGUAAUUUCUAAAAUCUAUAAAAAAAAAAAAACUAAUAAACAUUUGACUUCGAGUAAACAAAUCCACGUACGUCCAUCUUGAGCAACUCAGGUCGCACGCACAGAGCGAUGGGUUCGUCUGCCGAGCCAAAGCGCUAGAAACCCGGCGGUCGUCCUUUGUCACUAAAGUCCGCGUGUAUUUUCCCGUGCGUACAUCACGCGUCCGCGCACGUGUAUUAUUAGACGUGUAUUUUGGGGUAAACUUGCGUAGUCAGUGUCGCGACGGGGAAGGCUGAAUUCGAGUGUAAAGCCGCGACGUGUUCAAGUAUUCGUCGCACAGACCUCCGCUGGCAUAUACGAACCUAACCUAAGCGCCCUUGACGUCGUCCCAGACGAAACGUUGUUAAGACUCCCGUCAGUGCCAUCUGCACGCGUCGAAAUAGUUUCACUAUAUGAAUAACGUGCAAGACCCGAACGUCUACAUUCACGCCGACCGUAACUUACAGAGCACGCACUCCGUGUUGUCUCUGUAUAAAUAAUUUACCUAGCUAAAAAAAAAGUGACCUUCCAUAACCAAGGUGGAUUGGCAGUGGAAAAAAAGUACUAGGAAUAAUCAAUUACCUGAACAAUGACGUACACAGUUGAGGUUAGUAUUGUGGGAUAGAAUUAGGGACGGGUGGCUGGGAUAUAUGUGGGUUGGUACCCCUUUGUCCUUUCGACAGCAUUGAUGCGUCCUACAAUACUAGCGCGGUAUUAACGUCGGAGCAGGGUUUCGUUUUCGAGACGUGAAACUAGCCAGUUGUAGAAUAUACAGGUAACGCAGCUGAUAAAGAAAAAGAAAAAGUUUAAGCACCAUAAUUCGGCAAUAUAUACGACGAAUUUCACUGGGCGUUGACGAUUUAUCGAAUAACAGUAAUUCGUCAGAACGACCGGUGUUGUUUAUUAAAAAAAAAAUAUUUUGAUCGACGUGGAAAAUAAUCGAAGAAGUAAAAAUACCCGUGCGUUCAAAAAUUUCGGAGAAACCGUCCGCGACGUUCUAAUUGAUACAUGGAAAAGCUAAAUACCGAUUUCGCAAUUACGUCAAAAUAUAGCCUAACCUCAAAAACUGUAAAAGCUACUAAAUCGCCUUAGGAACUAUCUGACUUAACAAGGACACGCGGUGUCAACUGCUAUAGACCCGCAUGGAUACAAUUAUAACGUACCACCCGCUGAUGUGCACAUUUAUUACUAUGAGAGAUACGUGAUAAUUCAAUAUUUGACGCAAGAACGCCAUUGCCACCGAAGAAUUGGUCGGAUCAAAGGUCAUCGUAUUUCGAAAGUAUUUUUAUCUAUUUUAAAGAGCAACAAGAAAAGCUAAUAAUUAUGAAGAGCCGUGCGAGGGUUAUCGCUAUGAAUUAAACGACCCAAGACUUCUAGUUACACAAUAAUACACCGAGGAUUAAAGGAAGCGGCAAAUUCAACUUCCUAUUCGAAAGCGUCGUCGAGUGAUACGAAUAAUCCACAUGGAAGCUGCGUGGGUCAAAGUUUGAAAAGAAGAAUAAAGCGCACAUGUGUAUCACCGUAAAUCAUACGUACGUAUGGAGCUGUAUGCAAGAAGCGCCCAAAGCAAGGCGACACGAUAAUACAUAACCUCGUGCGGGAGUGUUGUGUGAAUUCGGCGUGGGAAGGUUAGAAAUGUUGGUGAGGCUGGCAGGGAGUGAAGUGUGGUAGGGUAAAGAGAGAUAAAUAGAGAUAGCGCUAGAAGGAUUGAGAGAGAAAAAUAAAUGAGAAAGGUAGUAACAGAGCGAGCGAGUGCGAGAGAGACAAGCAUACAGCCAAGUGAAGGGUCCCCGGUAAGCCGUUCCGGUUGACUCGGGGUAGGAAGGAGGUAGACUGGAGGGAUCAGACAGAGCAGGCGCUGUUGCCAAGCGGAAACCACGGACGUCGCAUUUUGUUCGUCGGCCGUUCUCGCUCUCCGUGACUGGUUUGAACGCGGAACGGUGCAGCUUUCGGAAAUUUUAGCCGGAAACAGAUGCGUUGCCAUCGAAGCCAAUCGAAAUUAACGCGUACAGCCUCGUGGGUGUCGAUGUUGUGUACUGUCGGGUAGCCACAUUUUUUUUUGUAAAUAUAUACACACGUGUUCUCUUUUCUGAUAACAAUAUUAUCAUAUACGUGUAUAUAUAUACAGUGACGUUCACGUACCCGAUGGUUUUAUUACGAAGUCUUAUUACACAGGAGAAAAAUAAAAACCAAACGACGCGCCAGCCACGACCCAAUGCAUGGCCGCUCGAAAAUAGACGCCAAGAUGGCGCUGCGAGUCGUAAGGUAAUUUAGCGACGAGUCGUGGGACUUGUGCCAGGGUUCAUUGGCAUGAUUAUGAAAACAAUGCAGAAUGGCCUAGGGUUACGUGACCUGCAGAGUCGAAGACUCGAGAGGAUGACGUUCGUAUUAUCUCUACAAUUUUUUAAAAGCAUUUCAACAUGACAAGAAGAGAUGGACAACGCGCGUCUCUACGUUAACGCAGACAAUGAAUUAGGAAUGAAGAAGCGUCUCGAGGUUCUACCGAAAAACUGGAUUUUUUUUCUUCCUCUUCUUACCUUCCUUCCAGACACGCGUCAUGCAAAAUACACACCCGGCUGACUCUAGCGAAGGGACAAUGGAUGAGAGGGGUCUGCCAUUUUCUCUUUUUCACGCGCUUUGGCUUUCAGGAAAGGUAAAAGCGUCCACGCUUAAUUGCAAUCGUUUAAUUGAACUCCCAGGAACGCUUUUCCAGUUUUAAGCAGCAAAUCAUUUCGAACAGCUGAAUAGAAUUCACGGCGGAUAUCGAUGGACGAUAAAAAGACGGAUUUUCUACAGGCAGGUUUCGAACUUCUCAUGAAUCUUUUAUUUCGAGGACUGCAAGCGUGAACGAACAAAGCAGUAUCUAUGAAUUUUCACGAUUCAUCCAUUGAUUCAUAGGAGGAACGUUGCGAUUACGCGCGAGAUCGAUUCGAACAAGCCCUUGACUAUACUUGUAAACCGGCGUCAGUUAGGUUAGUUUCGAGGCCCCUGAUUAAUGCAUGCUUCGAUGGGCCCUUCUGCGAACAAAGCAACGACGGAAACAUCUGCCGCCAUCUGUUCGACGUGUGGCAGAGAAUUUGCGAGAGGAAACGUGACCGAAGUGAAAACGAAUAAUAAUAAACGAACUUAUAAUGACGAUCGCGUAAGGUCGACGGCAAUAAUCUACAAAGCUUUCCCGAACCCGAGCGCUGUCACGUUGCCGUGGACUAUUCCGAUGAAAUCAUCGUCUUUCGUACAAGAUGAAAAGUCGCGGCAGCAGAAGAAGCUGGUUCCGGUCAUGCCUGCCAACCUUCCGAGAAAUCGUUUCAACGCAACAGUCCCGGUAGCUGCCCUCGGCGAAACAAGAAACAUGAAAGUCUUGUACGGGUCCCGGUUACGUUUACGAAGCUCCACUUUACACUGGACAGGAAGUUUAUUCGAUAAACUGAUGCCCGACGGGGUCGCCAUGAUGUUUCUUUACGAUCGACCACGAGAGUUUCGUAAUUUUGUCGAGAUACUUUUUCUUUAUGACAUUUCUUCUUCUUUUUUUUUCACUGUUAUAUACUCUAAACACGAAUUAGUUUAUGGAAUAAGUUUUCAACGUAUACAAGUAAAAGUACAGUCACGAACAUAAAUACGUAAUAACGUUAUUGAUAAAUUAGAAAAAAAAAAGAUGCCGAUAAAAUUGAUCUAGAAUUGUCAAUUUUGAAAGGUGAAAUCCCCGAGGGAUCGACUUUCAAAAUAGAAACUAACAACAUCGAUAAAUUCACUGAAUCAACAACUGAUUGGGGAACGUGUGUUCUAAUCAGAAAUCGAUGAUCGAUCGAUCAUAUUUGCUUGGUGAUAUUUGCGGAUAACGCGGAAGAUCGAUAAAAGAUAAAUCGUUACUAUCGAAAAGUGCACUUAUGCCAUUAGAAAUAAAAAUUUCGUAACGCUAACUAUAUCGUAAGGACCCACGUAAGAGCGUGUCCUUAAAAUAAGAAAUAGCUUGAAGAAAGCUUCUAUAAAUAUGAUUUUUAAAGUCCACCAAAAUGGUGGCGCUUCGAAUGUUAAACGUGUUUGGCAAUGAUGUAGCCUCGCGCACGGUUUGGCAACGUUGCCACGUCUGAACGACCACCCGGGCAUCUUGUUUUCCUGCCAGCCGCGAUUCCCGACCCUCUUAAACGAGCAUAGCGCGAUAUCGGCAUAUCUCUUUAAAGCCGGCGCUUCCUACACUUUCAGAUCAGCUUGGGCUAUUGCACAGAGAGCUACGGUGUUAUAUACAAUCUGAUAAGGAUUUAAGCCUCGCGACAAACAGUGUUACAAGAUACGAGAAUAGUGCGUGUAACUUAAAAAGACACUAAUACUAUUUAAAAAAAAUUGUUUAUCCAAUAUAUUUAUGAAUAUAAAUAAUUACACGUUGAAAAAAAGAUAAGAAUAUGCCAAGUCAAAAGAUUUCAAUAAAUAGCUCUUUCCUCUAUAUUAACUUAUUUCGAAAAAUUAAUCAAUGACUCACUGACACGUCAAUGAUCCUUUUAAUUCCUUUCCUGAUCACACAGAGUUCAUAUUUGUCGCACGAGUUAUCGCACAAGUGACUCUAUGCCAGGUUCUACAUAGCUAGUAAAUUAAUUAUACUUAAUUAAGAAAAAAGCCUCUACAACGUUCUAGAGCCCGUGAAGAUUUCAAUAUAAAAUUAUGAAAGAACCAGGCGAGCGUGUUCUUGAAAAAUACCAGUCCCUGGCCUUAGGUAGAUUGCAGAGAUCAAAGAAGACCAAGUGACCCUAACAACGUGGCCGGGGCAUCGUGGAAGCACCCACACAGAAGGG